rnacentral:rRNA from 1 species
AGCGUACACGGUGGAUGCCCUGGCAGUCAGAGGCGAUGAAGGACGUGCUAAUCUGCGAAAAGCGUCGGUAAGGUGAUAUGAACCGUUACAGCCGGCGAUGUCCGAAUGGGGAAACCCAGUGCAAUUCGUUGCACUAUCGUUAACUGAAUACAUAGGUUAACGAGGCGAACCGGGGGAACUGAAACAUCUAAGUACCCCGAGGAAAAGAAAUCAACCGAGAUUCCCCCAGUAGCGGCGAGCGAACGGGGAGCAGCCCAGAGUCUGAAUCAGCUUGUGUGUUAGUGGAACGGUCUGGAAAGUCCGACGGUACAGGGUGAUAGUCCCGUACACCAAAAUGCACAGGUUGUGAACUCGAAGAGUAGGGCGGGACACGUGGUAUCCUGUCUGAAUAUGGGGGGACCAUCCUCCAAGGCUAAAUACUCCUGACUGACCGAUAGUGAACCAGUACCGUGAGGGAAAGGCGAAAAGAACCCCGGCGAGGGGAGUGAAAAAGAACCUGAAACCGUGUACGUACAAGCAGUGGGAGCACCUUCGGGUGUGACUGCGUACCUUUUGUAUAAUGGGUCAGCGACUUAUAUUCUGUAGCAAGGUUAACCGUAUAGGGGAGCCGCAGGGAAACCGAGUCUUAACUGGGCGUUAAGUUGCAGGGUAUAGACCCGAAACCCGGUGAUCUAGCCAUGGGCAGGUUGAAGGUUGGGUAACACUAACUGGAGGACCGAACCGACUAAUGUUGAAAAAUUAGCGGAUGACUUGUGGCUGGGGGUGAAAGGCCAAUCAAACCGGGAGAUAGCUGGUUCUCCCCGAAAGCUAUUUAGGUAGCGCCUCGUGAACUCAUCUUCGGGGGUAGAGCACUGUUUCGGCUAGGGGGUCAUCCCGACUUACCAACCCGAUGCAAACUACGAAUACCGAAGAAUGUUAUCACGGGAGACACACGGCGGGUGCUAACGUCCGUCGUGAAGAGGGAAACAACCCAGACCGCCAGCUAAGGUCCCAAAGUCAUGGUUAAGUGGGAAACGAUGUGGGAAGGCACAGACAGCCAGGAUGUUGGCUUAGAAGCAGCCAUCAUUUAAAGAAAGCGUAAUAGCUCACUGGUCGAGUCGGCCUGCGCGGAAGAUGUAACGGGGCUAAACCAUGCACCGAAGCUGCGGCAGCGACACUAUGUGUUGUUGGGUAGGGGAGCGUUCUGUAAGCCUGCGAAGGUGUGCUGUGAGGCAUGCUGGAGGUAUCAGAAGUGCGAAUGCUGACAUAAGUAACGAUAAAGCGGGUGAAAAGCCCGCUCGCCGGAAGACCAAGGGUUCCUGUCCAACGUUAAUCGGGGCAGGGUGAGUCGACCCCUAAGGCGAGGCCGAAAGGCGUAGUCGAUGGGAAACAGGUUAAUAUUCCUGUACUUGGUGUUACUGCGAAGGGGGGACGGAGAAGGCUAUGUUAGCCGGGCGACGGUUGUCCCGGUUUAAGCAUGUAGGCUGAUUGUCCAGGCAAAUCCGGAUAAUCAAGGCUGAGGUGUGAUGACGAGGCACUACGGUGCUGAAGUAACAAAUGCCCUGCUUCCAGGAAAAGCCUCUAAGCAUCAGGUAACAUCAAAUCGUACCCCAAACCGACACAGGUGGUCAGGUAGAGAAUACCAAGGCGCUUGAGAGAACUCGGGUGAAGGAACUAGGCAAAAUGGUGCCGUAACUUCGGGAGAAGGCACGCUGGUGUGUAGGUGAAGUCCCUGCGGAUGGAGCUGAGACCAGUCGAAGAUACCAGCUGGCUGCAACUGUUUAUUAAAAACACAGCACUGUGCAAACACGAAAGUGGACGUAUACGGUGUGACGCCUGCCCGGUGCCGGAAGGUUAAUUGAUGGGGUUAUCCGUAAGGAGAAGCUCUUGAUCGAAGCCCCGGUAAACGGCGGCCGUAACUAUAACGGUCCUAAGGUAGCGAAAUUCCUUGUCGGGUAAGUUCCGACCUGCACGAAUGGCGUAAUGAUGGCCAGGCUGUCUCCACCCGAGACUCAGUGAAAUUGAACUCGCUGUGAAGAUGCAGUGUACCCGCGGCAAGACGGAAAGACCCCGUGAACCUUUACUAUAGCUUGACACUGAACAUUGAGCCUUGAUGUGUAGGAUAGGUGGGAGGCUUUGAAGCGUGGACGCCAGUCUGCGUGGAGCCAACCUUGAAAUACCACCCUUUAAUGUUUGAUGUUCUAACGUUGGCCCCUUACCGGGGUUGCGGACAGUGUCUGGUGGGUAGUUUGACUGGGGCGGUCUCCUCCCAAAGCGUAACGGAGGAGCACGAAGGUUAGCUAAUCCUGGUCGGACAUCAGGAGGUUAGUGCAAUGGCAUAAGCUAGCUUGACUGCGAGCGUGACGGCGCGAGCAGGUGCGAAAGCAGGUCAUAGUGAUCCGGUGGUUCUGAAUGGAAGGGCCAUCGCUCAACGGAUAAAAGGUACUCCGGGGAUAACAGGCUGAUACCGCCCAAGAGUUCAUAUCGACGGCGGUGUUUGGCACCUCGAUGUCGGCUCAUCACAUCCUGGGGCUGAAGUAGGUCCCAAGGGUAUGGCUGUUCGCCAUUUAAAGUGGUACGCGAGCUGGGUUUAGAACGUCGUGAGACAGUUCGGUCCCUAUCUGCCGUGGGCGCUGGAGAAUUGAGGGGGGCUGCUCCUAGUACGAGAGGACCGGAGUGGACGCAUCACUGGUGUUCGGGUUGUCAUGCCAAUGGCACUGCCCGGUAGCUAAAUGCGGAAGAGAUAAGUGCUGAAAGCAUCUAAGCACGAAACUUGCCCCGAGAUGAGUUCU